rnacentral:rRNA from 1 species
UGGGGAAUAUUGCACAAUGGGCGCAAGCCUGAUGCAGCCAUGCCGCGUGUAUGAAGAAGGCCUUCGGGUUGUAAAGUACUUUCAGCGGGGCGGAAGGGAGUAAAGUUAAUACCUUUGCUCAUUGACGUUACCCGCAGAAGAAGCACCGGCUAACUCCGUGCCAGCAGCCGCGGUAAUACGGAGGGUGCAAGCGUUAAUCGGAAUUACUGGGCGUAAAGCGCACGCAGGCGGUUUGUUAAGUCAGAUGUGAAAUCCCCGGGCUCAACCUGGGAACUGCAUCUGAUACUGGAAUGCUUGAGGCUCGUAGAGGGGGGUAGAAUUCCAGGUGUAGCGAUGAAAUGCGUAGAGAUCUGGAGGAAUACCGGUGGCGAAGGCGGCCCCCUGGACGAAGACUGACGCUCAGGUGCGAAAGCGUGGGGAGCAAACAGG